rnacentral:rRNA from 1 species
ACGAACGCUGGCGGCGUGCCUAAUACAUGCAAGUCGAGCGCGCGGAACUAACAGAUUUACUUCGGUAAUGACGUUAGGAAAGCGAGCGGCGGAUGGGUGAGUAACACGUGGGGAACCUGCCCCAUAGUCUGGGAUACCACUUGGAAACAGGUGCUAAUACCGGAUAAGAAAGCAGAUCGCAUGAUCAGCUUUUAAAAGGCGGCGUAAGCUGUCGCUAUGGGAUGGCCCCGCGGUGCAUUAGCUAGUUGGUAAGGUAAAGGCUUACCAAGGCGAUGAUGCAUAGCCGAGUUGAGAGACUGAUCGGCCACAUUGGGACUGAGACACGGCCCAAACUCCUACGGGAGGCAGCAGUAGGGAAUCUUCCACAAUGGACGCAAGUCUGAUGGAGCAACGCCGCGUGAGUGAAGAAGGUUUUCGGAUCGUAAAGCUCUGUUGUUGGUGAAGAAGGAUAGAGGUAGUAACUGGCCUUUAUUUGACGGUAAUCAACCAGAAAGUCACGGCUAACUACGUG